AGCAGUCGCCACGGUAAUACAGAGGGUGCGAGCGUUAAUCGGACUUACUGGGCGUAAAGCGUGCGUAGGCGGCUUUUUAAGUCGGAUGUGAAAUCCCCGAGCUUAACUUGGGAAUUGCAUUCGAUACUGGGAAGCUAGAGUAUGGGAGAGGAUGGUAGAAUUCCAGGUGUAGCGGUGAAAUGCGUAGAGAUCUGGAGGAAUACCGAUGGCGAAGGCAGCCAUCUGGCCUAAUACUGACGCUGAGGUACGAAAGCAUGGGGAGCAAACAGGAUUAGAUACCCCUGUAGUCCCUGUCUCUUAUAA
rnacentral:rRNA from 1 species